CAGCAGUCGCCACGGUAACACGAAGGGGGCUAGCGUUGUUCGGAUUUACUGGGCGUAAAGCGCACGUAGGCGGACUUUUAAGUCAGGGGUGAAAUCCCGGGGCUCAACCCCGGAACUGCCUUUGAUACUGGAAGUCUUGAGUAUGGUAGAGGUGAGUGGAAUUCCGAGUGUAGAGGUGAAAUUCGUAGAUAUUCGGAGGAACACCAGUGGCGAAGGCGGCUCACUGGACCAUUACUGACGCUGAGGUGCGAAAGCGUGGGGAGCAAACAGGAUUAGAUACCCCCGUAGUCCCUGUCUCUUAUAC
rnacentral:rRNA from 1 species